AUUGAACGCUGGCGGCAUGCCUUACACAUGCAAGUCGAACGGCAGCGGACCUUCGGGUGCCGGCGAGUGGCGAACGGGUGAGUAAUGCAUCGGAACGUACCUUUCAGUGGGGGAUAACGUAGCGAAAGUUACGCUAAUACCGCAUAUUCUGUGAGCAGGAAAGCAGGGGAUCGCAAGACCUUGCGCUGAUUGAGCCGCCGAUGUCAGAUUAGCUAGUUGGUGAGGUAAAGGCUCACCAAGGCGACGAUCUGUAGCGGGUCUGAGAGGAUGAUCCGCCACACUGGGACUGAGACACGGCCCAGACUACUACGGGAGGCAGCAGUGGGGAAUUUUGGACAAUGGGGGCAACCCUGAUCCAGCCAUGCCGCGUGAGUGAAGAAGGCCUUCGGGUUGUAAAGCUCUUUCGGCCGGGAAGAAAUCGCACGGGCUAAUACCCUGUGUGGAUGACGGUACCGGAAUAAGAAGCACCGGCUAACUACGUGCCAGCAGCCGCCGCCGUAA
rnacentral:rRNA from 1 species